GACGAACGCUGGCGGCGUGCUUAACACAUGCAAGUCGAACGGAAAGGCCCUGCUUUUGUGGGGUGCUCGAGUGGCGAACGGGUGAGUAACACGUGAGUAACCUGCCCUUGACUUUGGGAUAACUUCAGGAAACUGGGGCUAAUACCGGAUAGGAGCUCCUGCUGCAUGGUGGGGGUUGGAAAGUUUCGGCGGUUGGGGAUGGACUCGCGGCUUAUCAGCUUGUUGGUGGGGUAGUGGCUUACCAAGGCUUUGACGGGUAGCCGGCCUGAGAGGGUGAACGGCCACAAUGGGACUGCGAGACGGCCCAGACUCGUACGGGAGGCAGCAGUGGGGAAUAUUGCACAAUGGGCGGAAGCCUGAUGCAGAGACGCCGCGUGCGUGAUGACGGCCUUCGGGUUGUAAACCGCUUUCGCCUGUGACGAAGCGUGAGUGACGGUAAUGGGUAAAGAAGCACCGGCUAACUACGUG
rnacentral:rRNA from 1 species